rnacentral:rRNA from 1 species
CUACGGGAGGCUGCAGUAAGGAAUAUUGCGCAAUGGACGAAAGUCUGACGCAGCGACGCCGCGUGGGGGAUGAAGGUCUUCGGAUUGUAAACCCCUUUCGGCAGGGAAGAUGGAAUGGGGUAACCCAUUUGGACGGUACCUGCAGAAGCAGCCACGGCUAACUUCGUGCCAGCAGCCGCGGUAAUACGAAGGUGGCAAGCGUUGCUCGGAUUCACUGGGCGUACAGGGAGCGUAGGCGGUUGGGUAAGCCCUCCGUGAAGUCUCCGGGCCUAACCCGGAAAGUGCAGAGGGGACUGCUCAGCUAGAGGAUGGGAGAGGAGCGCGGAAUGCCCGGUGUAGCGGUGAAAUGCGUAGAGAUCGGGAGGAAGGCCGGUGGCGAAGGCGGCGCUCUGGAACAUUUCUGACGCUGAGGCUCGAAAGCGUGGGGAGCAAACAGGAUUAGAUACCCCCGUAGUC